UUGACCAAUUUUGAAUAUUUUAGAGGUAUUUUUGACCUUUUAAAUUCCUUUAUUCUAUUAUUUUUGUAUGCAUUUUAACUUUAUUUAAGCUCUUAUUAAAGUAAUUGAUUUUGCAAGGACAACACUAUAAUUGGAGUACUAGUUAUUAAUACUACUGCUAAUAACAAAAAAAAAAUAGUAGUAAUAGGAGCAGUUUUUUAUUUGUUCUAUAUACGAUAAGAAAGUUUCUUUUAUUUUUCAUUUGGAGCCAAACUUUCCCUCUCAAAAAUUGAAAAUCCCAAACACCAAAUCAUUCCCCCAAAAAUUUAAAACCCAAGCAUAAGCCAAAUCAGCAGUUCCUUCCCAGUUCCCACGAAUUAAAAACUGGAAUUCCAAAUCCCUUUCCCUUUUCCCUUUUUCCCAAUUCCCUUUCCGUCAAAGGCAGGCCUCAUCGGCAAUUCACCAGCGGCCUAUAUCCUCUCCUUUCUCCCUUCGCCCCUUACGAAUUGUAUAAUAUGAUUGUUGCUGUGGAUCAUACUUCUGUGGAUGUGAAGCUUAGUGAUGCAAAUACUGAGCUUGCUUUACCCUGGGAAGAAAGAAGAUAAUGUGGUGAACCAACUCAAAUCAACAAAUGUUUAGUGCUUUUUUAUGUUUAUAUGAUACAGAAUUAUUUUUGAACUUUUUAGAUUUGAAGUUGUAACAUUUAAGUUAUCAUAUACGAGUUUGUAUUACUUAAGUUUGACAUGAAUUUAAAUUUGUGUUGUUGCGUACUAUGAAUUUAUUUAAUGAAACGUGAUUUACAUUA